rnacentral:rRNA from 1 species
GAGUUUGAUCGUGGCUCAGGAUGAACGUUAGCGGCGUGCCUAACACAUGCAAGUCGAACGAACAGCCAGCAUCUUAGGAAUCUGGCGGGUUAGUGGCGCACGGGUGAGUAACACGUAGGUGACCUGCCCCGAAGUGGGGGGACAACCACUGGAAACAGUGGCUAAUACCGCAUGUGCUUAGCCAUUCGGUUGGUUAAGUAAAGCUGAGGCGCUUCGGGAGGGGCCUGCGGUCGAUUAGCUAGUUGGUGAGGUAAUGGCUCACCAAGGCGAUGAUCGAUAGGGGGCGUGAGAGCGUGACCCCCCACACUGGGACGUGAGACACGGCCCACGACUCCUACGGGAGGGCAGCAGUGAGGAAUAUUGCACAAUGGGCGGCAAGCCUGAUGCAGCAACGCCGCGU